rnacentral:tRNA from 2 species
GCCGAGGUGGUGGAAUCUGGUAGACACGCUAUCUUGAGGGGGUAGUGACCCACGGUCGUGCGGGUUCAAGUCCCGCCCUCGGCACCA